rnacentral:rRNA from 1 species
UCAGGUCCGACCUGCCCACUGAGAGAGUUAAAUGGCCGCGGUAUUUUGACCGUGCAAAGGUAGCAUAAUCAUUAGUUUUUUAAUUGGGAGCUUGUAUGAAAGGUUUGAUGAGAAAACGGCUGUCUCUGAUUGAGUUGAAUAGAAUUUUAUUUUUAAGUGAGAAAGCUUAAAUUUGUAUAGAAGACGAGAAGACCCUAUAGAGUUUCACAAAUAAGAAAAUAUUUAAGUUAAUGGAGUGAUGAAAUUAAAUGUUUUUGGUGUUUGUUUUGUUGGGGUGAUAGAAAAAUUGAAGAAACUUUUUUUUAUUGUUAUAUUGAUGUGUAGAUUUAUGAUCCUUUAGUUAAGAUUAAAAGAUAAAAUUACCUUAGGGAUAACAGCGUGAUUUUUUCUAGAGCUCUUAUCGAAGAAAAAGAUUGCGACCUCGAUGUUGGAUUAAAAUUAAUUGUUGGUGUAGAAGCUAAUAAGGUAGGUCUGUUCGACCUUUAAAAUUUUACAUGAUCUGAGUUUA